UUUUUCCAUAACAUAAAUCUUUAGAGGACCUUGUUCAUAUCUGGGAAAGCAUGAUCUCAGAGCUGCACUUGAUAAAAUGAGUGAUUCUCCAAGCCAAGAACUUUUGAGAUUUUGGAAUAACUGCAAGAAAGACCCUCAAGAAUUAAUACAGUCACAGUUAAGAGAUGUCCUGGGGAAUUUUAUCAAAGGCCUAACUGAAGCUGUUGGUGGAGGAAAUAAAAUCUCAAAUGAG